rnacentral:rRNA from 1 species
GACCUGCGCUAGGCCUCCCGCGCAGUUGCAGCGAUAUUUCGAGCCGGCGCGCGCCGCGGAAGGAGAGUAACGAGAGCGUCUCACAUCACCCAACAGAAGAAGAGAGGUAGGCCAUGCGAACCAAGCACACUCCAAGGGCGCCCUUACCGUCUACGCCUGCCACGGCUCAUGGCGACGAAGCAGCCGUCGGACAGGACCUUGUGGCUGCUGGCGCCGGAGCUCCGACGAAAGUCGAGGAAGCCGCUCUAGGAGCUGCGGUUCCAGGCGGCGUGCGGGUAGGAAGAGCGCGAACAGCUAUAACAAACGACGAAACGAAAGGCUGAGCUGGUACGUACCGCGCACGUCUAGUAGUUGCUAGCGCUCUGCCCCUCCAGGGCGCCGAAGCCCAAGCAGUCGAAGAGGUCGCUCGUCCGCUACGUCCUGCGGUAGCUCCCCUACUUGCCAUUCCUCGAGCUACCAGCGUCGUAGCAGCAGUUGCUCCGGGUCAGGGCGCCCAUGCCGCCGCCCCCACCGCCGUCCAUGCCACCGCCGCCACCGCCUCCGCCACCGUCCAUGCCGCCACCACCGCCCAUACCGGUCGCGGCGCUGCUACCGAUGCCCCUACUGCCGAUGCCGCCACCGGCGCCAAUGCCUCCGCCUGCGAUGCCGCCACCGUCCCCCAUGCCGCCCGCCGCACUGCCGCCGAUGCCGGCGCCUCCGUUGAGGCUGCCUAUGACUUCCUCGACUCCCCUGCCGGGGUGCGCCGGUCAGUAGAACGCUCAAGCGCCAGCACUAGGGCUCAAUAGAACAGAGAACACAACACACCAAAAGGUAAACACAAAAAACUCUCAUUUAUCGUAUUUUGAUGAUGUUAAGCCCAAUCCCAAAAUUUUUUGAUGACCUAAAAUAAAAAAAGUGACUAUUGAUGGUUCAAGCCCUAGCCAACAAAAUUUUUUGGGUUUUACAACUCACAAAGUGUUAACUAGUGCUAAUACUGUCCAACCCGGGCGUGGAUUUAGUUGGUAGACAAACUGGCAAACAAACUGACAAUUGACUGUAUACCCCGGGUGUACAGUAAAAGGAGAAGGAGAAGAGAAAGAAGAAGGAGAGACAGAGAAGAGAAGAGAGGGGCCACAGAGAGCUCGGCCGCUAGGAGGGGAGAGGAGGGCUCGGCCGCUGGUGUGAGGGAGGGGAGGGGUCGGAGGGGUACUAGCACCCUCCACGAGCGGUUUCGAACCACCACCUCAACCGCUGCUCCUCCGUAUGGACGGGGCGACGACCUCACGCGUGGAGACGGUGGCGUCCGCUCCGUCCCGCACCGCCACCGGCGUCCGCUCCUUGUCUCACCUAGGCCGGCGACGUCCGCACUGAGCUCCGUUCCGUCCCGUCGCCGGCGCCCCUCCGUUCGUGCCGCCGGUGUCCCUCCGUCCCACUCCGCCGCCAGCGUACGUUCCGUUCCGCACCGCCGCCGGCGUUCUCUCCUUGCCGCGACGCCCGGGCCGAGCGGCCGCGUCCUCUACGUGCCGCAGUUAGGCCGGUGACGUCCGUGCCGAACGGCCGGCCCCCUCCGCCGCAAGCCCGUCUCGCGAGCCCUAGCUCCAGGACCGCUGCGCCGAGGAGACCUAGCCCUCCUCCCUGGACUAACGAAAAAAACGUUUUUGUACAUCCCUGGACUAACUUUUGAGUAUCCCUGGACUAACGAAAAAAAUCUUUUGAAUGUCCCUGGACUAAUGAAAAUCUUUUAAAUGUCUACCCUGGAUGUACAUUCAAUUACCAGUUUCAUUUGCCAGUUUGUUUACCAAUAGAAUGCACACCCGGGGUUAACAGUAUUAGUAUUAGUUGACUAUUCCUGAGCCGCAAAACCCAAAAAACUUUGUUGGCUGGAGCCUGAACCAUCAAUAAUCGCUUUUUUAUUUUAAGCCAUCAAAAAACCUUGGGAUUGGGCUUAACAUCAUCAAAAUAUCAUCAAAAAACUAGCGUUCGAGCAGCCAUCAACCGACAAUACCUUUUAAAUCAAUCGACAGGGCCACUUCUUUUAGCUAGUUCGUCACCUCAGUCAUAGCACGAUAGAACAAUGUUAAAAUUGCGUUAGGGUUACCCCCCUACACUACGUUUACAAUUUGAGACAAUGGUUUUUUAUUCCUUUUUUUGUUAGAUAGAGCCGAAAAGGUUUAAAAUGCCUUAACCCCGUUUGCAAAGCACCUGGUAACCUAAAACGUGCUCAGAACCCAGUCGUGUUUAAUCGGUGCAGUUGCGUGCUAAAAAAGACACUUUAUAUCCGCCCGGCAGCAUUUGCGGAGUUGAGACAGAGGGUAGUGGGUAAUAGGUAUAAAAAAUUUACCUUUAGGAUGUAAAUACUUCUCGAUGCAUGGUAAAAUGCAUUUGAUAGACUGUUGAUUUGGAGAAGGAGGAACUAAAAGUUCUCCAUCCGGGCAGGAAGGAGAAUGGAGGUUAGUAUAAGUAGGUGGACUAAACAAUACAAUUAAUGCAUCUUGAAAAAUGCAUCGAGAUCGUAACGAGAAAAAUUUUACUUUUAGUUUUCCCAAGGGGGAGAGGGGUAGUGUUGAAAAUGAUUUCGGUUCCGUUAUAGUUAGUUUUACAAAGUGUUGAGAGACGGCUUUGGUCUUUCAUCGACGUUACCUAAUAAUGUUCAAUGGCUCAAAAUUUCGGUCUAUCUAUCCGUAAGUUGUACUUAUGGUAAACCGUGUCGUUUUUCUCGGAUAGCUUGAGGGAUGUGUAAUGACCUGGUUUGUUAGGGUUCUUCCAGGGGAGCCGUUGCUAGUUCAUUGGAAUACGUAACCUCCGCAUCGCGUUGAACUGACAGCCUCGUGUUUUGGAGGGUAAUCGAAUAAUCGCUUGGACGGUCAGGCUCUACGUUGCGUUCGAAGCGGUAAAAGCUGGGAGUUUCUGUUUAAGUAAAGCCUUUUCGGUAUUUGGAGUGUUCCAUCGUCUACACUGUUUUAAUUGAUGUAGUGGCUAAAAUAAACGAAAGAUUUACCUUACGUUUCUCCUUUUUCUUGUUCCUUGUUCAUACAACUACUAUAGUCCCUGAUAUCUGGUCUAUACAGGAUAUUGUUACGUCAGCUUUUUAUCUACAACAUAUCAAAGCCCAAGUAAUAUCUUCUGCGCAUUAUAGUCGAUGUACAGUUGCGAAUCGUUUCUAACAGGGACCAAUUUGAGAAUGAUACGUGGUGUUCAGUUUCUUUUUACACUUACAAUCCACCUUGAAAAUUAAAAGGUUUAUGUUAGAAAGUCCAGUCUCCAGCGUGGAGGUUUUAAUUAGUAAAAUAUCUCUCUGAAUUCUCUCAUCUAUGGUCUUCCUAGUUCGUAGGUUUGACCAUUCAGUAGUGGUUGUCUGUUUAACUUUAAGAAGUGGGCUAGUUUGGUACCUCUCUUUCAUGCAAAUAGAUGUGUAGAUAACCCGUUUUUACAUCCAUAAGACAAAAAAAUAAACUGGUGCUGUUAAAAAAAACGUAAGUGGUACCGAAAACAUACAUCUAUGGUACCGUUUAACAGAGAUGUUACUGUAAUAGUUAAUAAUUAGUACACCGUUUAAAUAGAAGAUAUAAAACCUUAUGUAUUUAAUCGGUACAAAAAAUCUCUUGGUUUACGGAUUUAAUGUUACGGGGUGCCCUUGUAGUUUUUAAACGGUACAAAAAAAAAGCUUUCUUUGAUUUUGGAUUUUAAAGGGUACUACACAUGAAAGAAAUACUUUUCGUAUAAGUAGUUUUUUUUAAUACGGGUACCGUUAAAAGAAUGUGUUUCGUACUGUUAAAAUUAAUUUUAUUGGUACCGUUUAAAAUUAUACGUAAAAGGUACUGUAAAAACCGAGUAUUAAACACAAUAAAAUGUGUGUACCGUUAAAAUAGUAUUUUUGUAGCGUUAUAAUUAAUGUUAUGGUACCGUUAAAAAUUCAUACGUAGACAGUCCCGUUAAAACAAGUAUUAAUUCAAUAAACUACUAUAUCCAGUAAUAAAGUCUACGUCUUCCCUGGCGCCGUCCCCCCUAGGUUACAGAGGAUAGAACAAGUUACAACAACGACUAUACGACCACUAGGAGUAACCAUAUCGGUUCUUCCCGCCAGUCCAUCCACCCGAGUAAGGUGUAGAACACCUACUUCACACAGUUAUGAUGUUAUACAACUGCUAUGUUAAUAAAAGUACUUUGUACCAUACCGUUUUCGAUUUUUAUACUUCAACCAAAAUACAGAGAAGCUUGUUGACAGAUCCAACUUUAUUUAAAGGUAUUUUCGCUUAACAAGACAAAACUCGCGCGGUUCCUCCUUGGCCAUUUGAUAUCUGUUAACAAGUCUACACCUGAACCUCGGGAUGGAAAAUCAAUAGAUCCCUAGGGUUAGGUACUGGUUUUCAACUAGUUAUUUCUUACUUUCACGUAACUUUUAACUAAACUCUUUUGGAUUCAGCAACCUUCCCGUUUGAAUACAGAAUGCCCCCAGCAAUUAAGAAUAAUUAAUGUACAAAUGUUCGUACAGCUAUAAAGACGAUAGGUAGAAACUCCAUGCACAUCCCCAUACUUUUUCCAAACUGAAAAUAGCUCGCACUAAAAAAACGUUUCACUGUCCUUAUUUAGAUUUAUGGAUGACUGAUUCAGCCUGUACGAAACAUCUAACUUUGUGGCUCCCCCGAACCCAUAACUUUUGGAGUUUCAUUUCUUGUUCACAGAUGAAUCGUUUACCAAUAUAGACGACAGACAUCUUCUCCUAUCCCCACACUUACUUCCUUUAUACGGGAUCUCCGUUAUUAUUUCAACAAUAAAAUAUAAAGGAAUAAGUACUAAUUCCAAAUAAUAAGUACGAUCUUAACAUAACUAGUCUUUGGAUUUAUGUACACACUUAUGUAUUUGUUUAUGACACAGGAAUCAUUCGGAGAUGAUCUGAUCGAACAACUAGUUUCUACCAAUUCCAAAGGAUUGGUAUCUGUACACGACAGUAAACUAUUGCCCUAGUGUAGUAAUCCUCUUACUACACUACCUGUGCUGGGUAGUCAAUCGAAUCGUAUAACUAGCAAGUCAAAUAACGAUAACGAAAGAAGUACAGUUUAUGUAUAAGGAAGCUGAUACUCUAAUACGUUGAAGGUCUAUGACCUGACCCACUAGUAUUUCUACGAGAUGUCCAUAGAGGCUUCCACAAACCACUCAACCAUAUCUAGCUCUAAUCCUAAACAGUGAGGCUCAUAGUCUCUCCAUAGAAACCCGGGAGAGCCAUUAUGUGUAGUAUUCGAACGUUCGUUUACUGAUUCCUCAAUCAGUGCUCCACUACAUAAUGCCUUGCUCAUUUCUCUGAACGGCCAUUGCUCUAACUUGAUCCAUACUUCUAUGGCUGCUAGCUUAGAGCCCGAUCAUUGUAUGGCUACCUGUUUCCCUUAAUGCAUAUAACAGUAUUGCUAAGUUGACUAUUUCUAGAGGCACCUUAUACAUUCUUAUUUAUACCCGUAGAUCCAGGGUGGUAACCAAUAAAUGGCCUCUCCACAGAGCCAGUACUGAUGUAUUAAGGGCUUGGGCGUCCCAGUGUGCGAAUUGCAAGAAACUACGAUCUGAUCAUAACCCUAUAAAUUACUCACCAUUAGUUUACAACAAGCCUCAGAGCCUACUCUAGUGCCUGCAGUGUUCCUCAGAGCCUUACCAGCUCUCCAUUUCUAAAUAUAUACCCUUCAGUAUAAAACCCAAGGCUUUUUUCACAUCAAAAAAGCAUAACACGACCCUUCGAAGAUCUUCCAAAGUCUCCUAAGGCCUCCCCAGGCCUUCAGGUGUUCACCCAGGUGGUGCUGGGUUCCCGAUCUUGCCCGACGCCCCUCCACGGGACCGGAAUAACCCGAUCCGCGUGGUUCAGGAGUUUUAGGGUUCACCGAUCCCUUCCGUUUUUUCUUUCCUCAGGAUGAUCCUUAUCCUAACCUGAACCUCAGGUUCAGGAGAAGGGGAAUCGACGCGGGAUCCCGAAACUCCCCGACAAAGGGUGCGGGGGAGGUGGAUAUAUAUCUCCCCUCCCCCGAGGGGUUCUCCUGUAUGGUUCGGGAACCGAGGGGAGAGAGAGGGCAAUGAGGCAUGAAGGUGGCGGAGUAGGGCCGCUACGAAUCGCUUCGCGACAGCAUGAGGUGGUGGUGGUAGUGGUGGUGCGGUAGCACAACCAACACUAUAAUAGAUGAAUAGGACAGGGCGAACGACCUAGUUCUUCCUCCUCUGCAGUAGUUCGGCGUACACAGGAUUUGAGCCUCCACGGCAAGUAAGUUGUGAUCUAGUCAACCUAGUACUAGCCUAGCGCUUCUCAUGCUGAUGUAGUUGGCGCAACAAUUUGCGAGGGCGAAUGCCAGAUGCUCCCAUGCAUCUGUGUGAGAGGGAAUAGCAACGGUACGUAGAGGUACCUAUCUAGAACGCACACGCAUCUUUAAAAAACAAAAGGUACGUUGCAAAGGGUUGUCACCGUAGGCUCGGUCCAGAUACACAUCUACUAUACGUGCUCAUCUUGUGUUAGUUAACACCCGUCACUAUCAGUAUGACGAAUGGUGGUUGCACAAUAAAACUAAGUCGCCAUAACACCCUACUUCGCCGGGUCUGGUUGGAAUGUACAGGUGCGUGUACUCUGGCCAAGGUGGCUGAUUGUACGUCGAUCAAAACGUAUUUCCACCGACCGUCCACAGACAAAGAGGAUGAAAUCAACACUAUGCUUGGAUGUUUAUAGUUCACGUAAUUCUUUACUGAUACACCGGCACUACUUCCUGUUCUACUGUCUGUAUCGGUUUCCUGACAACCUUUAUACGGGAUCUCCGUUAUUAUUUUCACAAUAAUAAUAUAAAGAAACAAGUACUAUUAUCAGAAAAUAAGUACGAUAUUGACAUAAUAGGCCUUUAGCAUUAUGUGCACACUUAUGUAUCUGGUGUUAUACAGGGAUCACUCG